GUCUGCAUUGGAGAUCUCAGGUACUAAGCAAGGAUUGGUCAGUUUUGAGUCAGAAUAAUAUUGUGUGUCAAGGAAAAACAAACUGAUGUCUGCAUUGGAGUGAACUCAGGUACUAAGCAAGGAUUGGUCCGUUUUGAGUCAGAAUAAUAAUGUGCCAAGGAAAAAAACAAACUGAUGUCUGCAUUGGAGUGAACUCAGGUACUAAGCAAGGAUUGGUCGGUUUUGAGUCAGAAUAAUAAUGUGUGUCAAGGAAAAACAAACUGAUGUCUGCAUUGGAGUGAACUCAGGUACUAAGCAAGGAUUGGUCCGUUUUGAGUCAUAAUAAUAAUGUGUGUCAAGGAAAAACAAACUGAUGUCUGCAUUGGAGUGAACUCAUGUACUAAGCAAGGAUUGGUCCGUUUUGAGUCAGAAUAAUAAUGUGUGCCAAGGAAAAACAAACUGAUGUCUGCA